rnacentral:rRNA from 1 species
AGAUCUAGCUUGCUAGAUGCUGACGAGUGGCGCACGGGUGCGUAACGCGUAUACAAUCUACCUUUAACUGAGGGAUAGCCCAGAGAAAUUUGGAUUAAUACCUCAUAGUAUUAUAAUUAGGCAUCUUUUUAUAAUUAAAACUUCGGUGGUUAAAGAUGAGUAUGCGUACUAUUAGCUAGUUGGUAAGGUAAAAGCUUACCAAGGCAACGAUAGUUAGGGGGCCUGAAAGGGUGAUCCCCCACACUGGUACUGAGACACGGACCAGACUCCUACGGGAGGCAGCAGUGAGGAAUAUUGCACAAUGGAGGAAACUCUGAUGCAGCCAUGCCGCGUGCAGGAAGAAUGCCCUAUGGGUUGUAAACUGCUUUUAUACAAGAAGAAACCUCGGUACGUGUACCGACUUGACGGUAUUGUAUGAAUAAGCACCGGCUAACUCCGUGCCAGCAGCCGCGGUAAUACGGAGGGUGCAAGCGUUAUCCGGAUUUAUUAGGUUUAAAGGGUCCGCAGGCGGAAUAUUAAGUCAGUGGUGAAAGCCUACAGCUCAACUGUAGAACUGCCAUUGAUACUGAUAUUCUUGA